GGAUUGACACAUCGGUCGUGCCUUAAGGGGUAUGAACUGGUGUAGUCAAUUUCUCACCUUCUGGAGAACCGCGAUGCCCUUAAUUGGGUGUCACGGGGAACCAGGACCUUUACUUUGAAAAAAUUAGAGUGUUUAAAGCAGGCAUACGCUUGAAUACAUUAGCAUGGAAUAAUGAAAUAGGACGUUUGAUUCUAUUUUGUUGGUUUCUAGGAUCGACGUA
rnacentral:rRNA from 1 species